rnacentral:lncRNA from 1 species
UAAUUUACCAUUUAGAGUAUUACAUACUGUUAAAACAUAAUGGGAGAACAACUUGUAUUGAGAAUGAUCCACAAGGAAAGAGAAUGGCAAAACUCUCAAGUUCACCAAGACUCGUCUGCUAGUCUCAUGGUUAGGAUUUCAAUCUCACAAUUACCAUUUCACAUAUUUGAAUCUCCAUGAGCACUAGCAACAACCAUUGAUGCACAAGUUUUCAAAUGCUUGAAGAAGACAUGUGCUUGUUCUUCUAUCCUCCAAAAAUUUCAAAUUCAUGAAUUAGUCAACUAUAGGAAGCUUUCGGAUGAAACCGGGCCCAUAUCCUAAAAUUCAAAACAGAGGCAAUAAAAUAAUAAGAGAGAGCAUAGGGGAGUUGAAUUACCAAGAGACAAAUGUGUAAUUAAGUAUUUGCUUAGAUGCAUUUACUGUUUUAUAUUUUUAAAAGGAGAAAAUAGCUUGUUUAUAUAAAAUACAAAAAAAAUUAAAGACUUACAUUCACAUGAUAAUAGUUUUAAAAAUUGUUUAAAAUUUUGAAGUAUUAAAAAUGUUUUCUUACCUCAAAUUUUAAAAUUUUUUGAUGUAAUUUUAAAAAAAAUAAAAGGUAAGUCUACUUUUUGUACAAGAGUUUCUACUUUUUAUAUAGAAAUAAUUCUUAUUUUUGUUUUUUUCUCUCUUAAAAGUAUAUCUAAACAAGAUCAAAGACUGCAUUAAAACUUCAUCUUGUCAUAAUGAAUAUACCGUCUAAAGUAAGCCACUAAAUAAUAUGAAUCCUUUGCUCUUUACCACCUCAUUGUAGAUUGAAAUUUCAAAUUUGUGCUCGAUUCCAAGGCUUUUGAGAAGGAUUCCUCACUCCCAAGAGUACUUUAGAAGAUGAAUCCCUAUGUUAAUUGCAAAAAAACAUCUAGUGAGUAAUAAUGUGAAUUCAUCCUAUUCUUAAGACAAACUUUGUCACAAGUAUCUAUAGUACGAAUGCUCACAAAUUAUCAAACUUACAAUUAUUCAUGUGAAGGAAAAUCCACCCAAAGUAUCCUGAUUUCUCAAAAACAGAGUCAAUUAGGAAUAUGACCUGGUUGUAGGAGCUUCCUAUAGAGCAGAUAAUAUUCAAAAUAAUUGUCAUUUUUAAAGAUUAAGCUUGAUCCACAGCACAAAAUAUUAAAAUUAUAACUAUUCCAUAUAUGGAAAGAAAACAUCUCAAAAGCAAACUUAGAAGAUAAAAAUAGAUAUAAAAUAAAUUUUUGCAUAGAAUUGAAUAAUUUUUUUCAUAGACUCUAAAAAGUAGAUAAGACAAAAAUAAAUUUCACUUAAAGGACACACUUCUAGAAUUCUAAAAGAGCAUAUAGUAUUUUCAUAUUAGACUUGUUAUUCACCCAAUUGAAUAUGACAAGAAAACAAGCAGAAUAUAGUAAUAGUUACCUACCUCAGCUAGAGCUUAUUACAAGCUUUGACCGUUUCACUUUGGGACAGUGAGGUUGUAGUUCUAACUCAUUGAGCUCCUUUGUUAAGACCACCUGCCCAUACCAAAUUAACGAAAGGGAAAAAAAGAAAUAACUUAAAAUCCUUUUUUUUUUUUUUGGGUUUGCGUGUGUCGUAAGGGUGUAAUUCACCAUAAAACAUCUUGUAAAAACUGAAGAAACCUUAUAUGUAAUACAUGACCCGAACUUGCUAAGAAUAUUGUCACUAUCAUUGUCCUAUCAAUUCAGUUUGUGAUGUACUAGCUCAAUUGCCUGUUAGAAUGAUUCAAGUAAUGAAUAACUUUCCAUUAGUAUUUGGUAAAAUAGAAUAAAUACCAUCAAAAUAUUCAAAUAUGCUCACAGUUCAUCAUAGUGUGAGAGUUGAUUGCAUUUCUUUCAUUCCAUAAGAAUCUCCACUUUUUAGUCCUACUAUGAUGGGGAAAUUAAAUUAGGUUAUACUUACCAAUCAAAAAAAUCAGAAAAACUAGUUUCAAAUUUAAGGGAGAGGUACAAGAAAAUACUGUUGUCAUAAAAUAGAAUAAAAUAUUAAGAAGCAAAAUCAAAGUUUUGAGGAAAAUGCCAAUUCACUUCCUAUAAAUUUGACAAAUCUUGUUUGAAAAUCUGAAAUGUGUUUAACCUUUUCUAUAUUUUUAAAUAUUUUUUUAAAUAACUUUAAUUUGUAAAUACUUAAUUUUCAAUCAUUCUCCAUAUUUGUAUAAUUAUUUUAAAAACAAUAUUUAGAAAAAAGUUAAAACCACCAAAAACAAUUAAAAUAUAUUCUUGGAAAACACUUUGUUUUUUGUUUUCUGAUUAUCAAACAUGUUAUGACUUUUUUUUUUUUUGUUAAAAAUAGAAAACCAUUUUUGAAAACAACUCCAAACACACCCUAAGGCUCUUUUAGCUUGUUGCCUUGUAUGCAUAAGCAGAAAAAAGGAACAAAAGAUGAGAAACAAGGUGUUCAACUAUAUUUCCUAGUAGUUUCAAAGGUUUGAUGAGAAAUGCUACAUGCUAAAAUGAACCAUAUUACUAGGCAAUUGAAAAGUUUGAGAGAGUGAUACCUCUUGCUUUUUUGUAGUGCAUAUUUCCAAGCAAAGGGAAGAAUAAAUUAGGGAGCAUGCCUGAGUGAUUAAGGUACACAGUAAAAUCAAAUAAGAGGCUUCAUUAGCAUAAUAAGAUGCAAAUUUGGUUUAAAAUCAAACAGAACUCAAGCAAAAUCUUAAUUACCUUGUAUUUAUUAAUGGUGAUGGAAAUAGUAUUCUGGCUUUAAGCAAAAUGAACCACCAGAUGUAAGGCCCCUUGCAUCAUGAAAUUGAAGCAUAUUGAAAACGGAAAAAAGAAAGAAAGAAACAAUGCAACAAGACUUUUAAUAGGUGUAUCAACCAUGUAUCUCUAUGUGAAAUUAUUGCCAUGUGAAGCUGGUGGCAAAUUCGAUUGGGCUUAAAACUCUUUUUGGACCUGAUUUAAAUUUUUUUUUAAAAUUUACAUGGCCUAGAAUGAUGCAUUUAGUACUGCUCUUUCAUGUUUAGGAUAUUUACCUUUGCAGAUGCUAAUAAGCCGCAUCAAUGGCCAUGAAUUUUGCUUUCAUCUACAUCAGUCCCUUUGAUUGCCAUCCUGCAUCUAAAAAGUAAAUUCCAUCAUUAUCAAGAAGCAAAAGCAAUAUUUUGAGUUAGAAAUGGAGAUUGUUUUUUAUAUCAGACUUACAAUUCAAUAGACUAAUAAUCACCUGUGUUUGGAAGAGGAUAGUCCCAAAUACCUUAAAUAGGUUUGUUUGUAAAAAUCUUCCUCUGCACCAUAUCCAACCCAAGAUCUAUAGGCUGACCAACGAAUGUAAUCAUAAGCAGGUUGUUUUUCCAACUCUUUUUGACUGCUUUUCCAUGUUGAUAUGAUUAAAAAGGCAUGGCCCAGUAGCCAUUUUAUUUUAAAAUUAAAAUAGGAAAUAUAAGAUAAAAAAUGAAAAUAGCAUAUGUACCAUGCUUUUCCUAGGCCCUUUCAUCUUCUUUUCACCAUCACCAUAUUAGAGAAUGAACAACCAACACCACAUUCACUUCAGACAUGGAAUCUGCAGGAUGAAACUCAAUAUUCCUUUCUGUUAGCAUAAUAAUGAAAAAGAGUUAUAUGUUUUCAAUGUAAAAGGCAAAAAAAAUAAAAUCAAGAGCAUUUCAUUUUGAAUAUAUAUUCAGAAAUUUUUUUAAUGCAAAUAUAAAUUGUUGCACACAACUGAUGAAUUAGAGAACUAAAUUUCCAAUCAGAUAGAAGGAUGGAUGUGAGCAACAAGAGAAAAGAGCAACUAUCAUCAAUUGGGGUACUUGAUUGACCUUUUUACUGCUGUACAAUGCAAUCUAUCUCCAGAUAUGGGAGGAUAUGAGCAAUUUAGGGCCAUUCUUUUCCUUUGUUCUUCAUGAACCUCCUUUUUAGAAUAGGACAUCUCUCUUGAUUAUGUAAUGUU